ensembl:lncRNA
GCAGAUCUAAGUCUGUUUAUCGGACAUUGGUGAAAUAUUUAAGCUGUUGAAAACUCUGGAUGGUUUCUAGACAGUCGUUGGAAAAAUUAAACAAGCAACACAAAUGACUCAUGAGUUCUUUAUAUUGAAUUAAAAAGUAUUGCCUACAGCGCAAAAAAGUUUCCGAUUCACAAACAGUUAAAAGAAACAAUACAGCAUACAGCAUAUAGCUAUGCAAAAAAGAUUCAUAUUUGUGAACAAAUGACUCUUAUGAGCCGGUUCUUUUUAUUGAAUCAAAAACAUACAGCAUAAACAGUAGUCUGAUUCAAGAAAAAAAUGACUCUUACAAGCCAGCUAUUCUUUUUAGUGAAAUAAACACAUAACUAGUGUUGUCUGAUUCACGAAAAGGAAUUCUUCUUCUUGGCGAAUUUGUAAAGAUUUACAACAGUUGACUCUUAUGAGCCAGUUCUUUUUAGUGAACCAAAAACAUACAGUGCAAACAGUGCAGUCAGACUGAUGAAAAAAAGACUCUUAAGAGCUGGUUCUUUUAAGGGAAUAAAAAAAACACUGAAUCCUCUUUUAUCCGAUUCACAAACAAAUGACUCAUAUGGGCCGGAUCUCAGCAGGACUCAUCAGUUGCUGGUUUGAAUCAGUUUUGACAUAUUUUUAAAUGAAUGAACAAUUCCAUCACUCAUCAGUGGUUACUGAAAUAACAUCUGACUUUAAAUGAGCAGCAUGUUAACAUUUUUAGUGUUCAUCUCGAAGGCAAGUUUUGUGUACCUGACUCCUCCAGUACCCUUUCCCCCAUCUCUAAAUUGUCUUCCUGUGAGCAGAACACUGCGUCCUGUUUAUGCAAAUAAAUACGCAUUCACAUUACAACUCCACUGUUUCAAAACACAGAAAACAAGAAUAAUUACAAAGCAAAAUUAGAUAAGGACAUUUCACACAGAAUUCUUCCUAUUGUGCCUUCAUACAUACUACUGUGGUCAUUUUCUUCAGAGACGAUGGAGUCUCAUUGCUUUCCAGGAGAAACAAUUUUUGAGGCUGACUAUCUACUGACUCCGUCUUCUCUAAAUUUCAUAUUAUAAGCACAGAUGACAUAUGCAGAUAUCAGAAGCGAGGUGCAGUAAGGACGGAUGGAUGUGUGUUUAUUUGAGGCUGAUUCAUCAGUCCGUCUAAGUGAAACAGCUGCAUUCAGAACAGCAUGCUCAUUAGGAGAUACUUCUGCACUGAAACUAGACAGAACAUUUUCAUUUUUAUAAUGCGUUCUGUCACUACGAAGUACAAGUCUUG